ACCGGGAGCAGCGGCGCGCUCUUGUAAUCCGGCUGCUCGGAGGUUAAGAUUGCGUGGAUCGGUUUGGGUGGGGCACUGUCGACCGGGCGUGUUAGACAAUCGAUUGCACGACGACACGAAAUUGACCACAAAUACUACUCUUAAU